AUGGCUGCGGGCCUGAGGGGCGGUGUGCCCCACGGGGAGCGUUUCAGCCAGAGGUGGGAGCUGAGGAUGACCGUAUGCACCCUCCCUUUCUGUUCCACGUCACCGCAYGGAGACCCCACACCAGUGGCGGCCCCGGCAGCUCUGGAGCUGCGCGAGGGGCUGGGCCGCGAGGCCGAACCCGCUUCCUUGCACUGUAGCACACCACAAUGCGGGGAGCACGGCGAGACAACAGCGGGAGAUGGGGGCAGCGGGUUUCUGCCCCCACCAGCACCUGAGCCAAGGCGCCCGCCGCCCCCUCUCCUCCAACACGGUCUCUCCCAAGCCCCUGGGACAUGGAUGUCACCGUCACGAUGGCCACAGCCAGCCGGCCACGAAGAGCCGGGGCCGGCAUCCCCUCCUCCCUCGUCAGGGAGGGCAGAGUGGGCUUGGCCUUCGCCUGGCGCUCACGGGUGGGAGGCAAACCCGCCGCUCCGUCCUCACCCCCAGCCCUCAGCUAACGACUGCAGCGGCAGUAAAAUUAGCAGCGUGGCAAAGUUCAGAGCUCCACUCAUAAAUUUCAUUCCUGAAGAGGCCAAGCAUGAGGUGGGCGGCCAUAAAUCCUGCGGGAGCAGCGCCAGGCCUGGUGGAGGCCUGGGCUCUGCGGGAGCGGCCGUGGGGGAGCCCCCGCCAUGGGGACUGGCGCGCCAAGGGCCUCCACGGGGUAUUUAUUUACUUUGGCUGGCGAACGUGUGCGAAAUGGCCCAGGCUGCCUCGACCGGGCCGUCAGGAGGAAUCCCGAGGAGCAGGGACCUGCUGGGGAACUGGCACCCCAGAGAAGGGUUUACGCCUCUCACCGAACCCUCAAAGCAAUUCCCGGUCCCCGGUGGGAGGGCUGGGCAGCAGGGGGACCUGCCGGGCCCCGUGGCAGCCUCCAGCCAGCUCCGCGGCUCAUGCGAGCCGACGCGUCCAUGGCCGCCUGUCUCCUCCCGCUGCGUGAAGGGGCAGCAGUCUGGGGGAAAACAUUUGGGGGGCUGGUCUCACACGCUGGAGCUUGCUGCUGCCCCCAUAGCACACGGCCCAGUGUCUGAGGGGUUGCUGGCUCCGCGAUGGGGGGGCCUGUCUUUCUCCACUGAAUGA
rnacentral:lncRNA from 1 species